rnacentral:ncRNA from 2 species
CUGUUCGAGGAGCGUUGCAGCCCGCCAGAAACUGCUUGUCAGCUGGCGCGUGAGGCUCGGACACCAGAUCGCCUUGCCGAUUCUGCCUCCCAACCGCGCUCACCCACU